rnacentral:rRNA from 1 species
CCUACGGGGGGCAGCAGUGAGGAAUAUUGGUCAAUGGACGAGAGUCUGAACCAGCCAAGUAGCGUGAAGGAUGACUGCCCUAUGGGUUGUAAACUUCUUUUAUAUGGGAAUAAAACGUUCCACGUGUGGGAUUUUGUAUGUACCAUAUGAAUAAGGAUCGGCUAACUCCGUGCCAGCAGCCGCGGUAAUACGGAGGAUCCGAGCGUUAUCCGGAUUUAUUGGGUUUAAAGGGAGCGUAGGUGGAUUGUUAAGUCAGUUGUGAAAGUUUGCGGCUCAACCGUAAAAUUGCAGUUGAAACUGGCAGUCUUGAGUACAGUAGAGGUGGGCGGAAUUCGUGGUGUAGCGGUGAAAUGCUUAGAUAUCACGAAGAACUCCGAUUGCGAAGGCAGCUCACUGGACUGCAACUGACACUGAGGCUCGAAAGUGUGGGUAUCGAACAGGAUUAGAUACCCCAGUAGUC